rnacentral:rRNA from 1 species
ACCUACGGGGGGCAGCAGUAGGGAAUUUUCGUCAAUGAGCGCAAGCCUGAACGAGCAAUGCCGCGUGAACGAGGAAGGUCUUCGGAUCGUAAAGUUCUGUUGAAGGGGAAAAAGAGCGGAGAGAGGAAAUGGUCUCCGAUUGAUAUUACCCUUCGAGGAAGUCACGGCUAACUACGUGCCAGCAGCCGCGGUAAUACGUAGGUGGCGAGCGUUAUCCGGAAUGAUUGGGCGUAAAGGGUGCGUAGGCGGCCUGCUAAGUCUGGAGUGAAAGGUACCGGCUCAACCGGUACAGGCUCUGGAAACUG